rnacentral:rRNA from 1 species
GAUGAACGCUGGCUACAGGCUUAACACAUGCAAGUCGAGGGGAAACGCCGGGGGAGCUUGCUUCUCCGGGCGUCGACCGGCGCACGGGUGAGUAACGCGUAACCAACCUGCCUCUGACUGAGGGCUAACCCGACCAAAGUCUGCCUAAUACCUCUAGGUUUCAUCUCCGGGCACACAAGGGCGAUUAAGUCUUUCAUCGACUAGGGGAGGGGCUGCGUCUGCUUAGCUUGUUGGCGGCGUAACGGCCCUCCAAGGCUACGAUCAGUAGGGGUUCUGAGGGGAAGGUCCCCCACAUCUGAACUGCGACACGGUCCACACUCCUACGGGAGGCAACAGUGUGGUAUAUUGGGCAAUGGGCGAGAGCCUGAACCAGCCAAGUAGCGUGCAGGAAGCCUGCCCUAUGGGUUGUAUGCUGCUUGUAUGCAGGGUUAGAGUGGGGAACGUGUCCCUCAUUGCCGGUACCGCAUGAAUAAGGACCGGCUAACUCCGUG